rnacentral:lncRNA from 1 species
GCCAAAUCCAAGUUUUCAGUUCCAAAGACCACCCUGCUGCUGGCAUAAAGGAUGGAUAUGAGGACGAGAAGAGGAGGUACGUGGGUACUAGCACAAGAAUGCUCGCCACCACAGAGAAUUUUGAACGUUUCUCUUACAAGACCACUGAAUUAAUUAGAGAAAGGUAAGGAAUUUGGUUGUCUUUUCACCCUUAGCAGCAGAAGAGAUAUUCAAAUACAGAAGCA